AUGCGGUAUGACGGUACCCUUUCGAAUAAGAGGUUGCUAACUCUGUGCCAGCAGCAGCGGUAAUACAGAGACCUCGAGCGUUAUCCGGAUUUACUGGGCGUAAAGCGUCUGUAGGGGGUUUGUUAAGUUCCAAGUAAAAUCUUAAGGCUCAACUUUAAGUUCGCUUGGAAAACUAAUAAACUGGAGUCCAGCAGAGGUGCAUGGAACUUGCGGUGUAGGAGUGAAAUCCGUUGAUAUCGCAAGGAACACCAAAGGCGAAGGCAUUGCACUGGGCUGGUACUGACCCUGAGAGACGAAAGCGUGGGGAGCAAAACGGAUUAGAUACCCGUGUAGUCCACGCCGUAAACGAUGGAUACUAGAUGUUCGGGGAUUCGACCCCCUGGGUGUCACAGCUAACGCGUUAAGUAUCCCGCCUGGGAAGUACGGCCGCAAGGCUAAAACUCAAAGGAAUAGACGGGGAUCCGCACAAGCGGUGGAGCGUCUGGUUUAAUUUGAUAGUAAGCAAUGGACCUCACCAAGGUUUGACAUCCUAUGACAACCCUGGAAACAGGGCUUCCUUCGGGCAUAGUGACAGGUGCUGCAUGGUCGUCGUCAGUUCGUGCCGUGAGGUGUUCCGUUAAGUCGGGAAACGAACGAAACCCUCGUCGCAUGUUACAAAUUUCAUGCGAGACUGCCCGGGUCAACCGGGAGGAAGGCGGGGAUGACGUCAGAUCAGCAUGGCCCUUAUACCUUGGGCUACACAGGCGCUACAAUGGCCGGUACUAAGGGUUGCAAAACC
rnacentral:rRNA from 1 species